AGCCAGGUGGUGUAGUGGUUUGAGUGUUGGACUAGGACUCUGGGGACCAGGGUUCAAAUCCCCACUUGGCCA